rnacentral:rRNA from 1 species
GACGAACGCUGGCGGCGUGCUUAACACAUGCAAGUCGAACGGAAAGGCCCUGCUUUUGUGGGGUGCUCGAGUGGCGAACGGGUGAGUAACACGUGAGUAACCUGCCCUUGACAUUGGGAUAACUUCAGGAAACUGGGGCUAAUACCGGAUAGGAGCUCCUGCCGCAUGGUGGGGGUUGGAAAGUUUCGGCGGUUGGGGAUGGACUCGCGGCUUAUCAGCUUGUUGGUGGGGUAGUGGCUUACCAAGGCUUUGACGGGUAGCCGGCCUGAGAGGGUGACCGGCCACAUUGGGACUGAGAUACGGCCCAGACUCCUACGGGAGGCAGCAGUGGGGAAUAUUGCACAAUGGGCGGAAGCCUGAUGCAGCAACGCCGCGUGCGGGAUGACGGCCUUCGGGUUGUAAACCGCUUUCGCCUGUGACGAAGCGUGAGUGACGGUAAUGGGUAAAGAAGCACCGGCUAACUACGUG